rnacentral:lncRNA from 1 species
ACAGAAAAAAGGAUAAAUUUUAUGGUUCAAAAGGGAUAAACAUUACAGGGUGGCAUGAAAAGGCUCAAAGUACCAAUAAAAAUUGCCUCAAUGUGAAUUAAAGUUUAAACCAAUCAGCUAGCAGAGAAUAAAUGCAAGUUCUAGAAAAUAAACAAGUACAUGGUUACUCUCAUCAGAUAUAGAAAAGAAAAGGUAAUACCGUGGAAAUAUUUGGUCCAAAUCCUCACUGACUACGGUAUUUGAAAGUUGAAUCAUUUUACCUUGCAAAACAAUGUCUUUCCUACGCGUCUGCCUGUCUCUCGAACCUUCGCGUUUUCAUGAGCAAUCACACUUUAGUGUUGUCUUUGUGUAAAGGCUUGCAAAAUUUAGAUCAUUUAAUUCUAGCUGUUACCAAACUGAAAACUUGUAGAGGCAUAAAAACAUGAGAUUUAAUAAUAAACAAACGAUUAAU